CAGAAUUAGCCAUCAUCAAGCCAAAGUGUUGUCACCUUCUGUCCUUGAAGCCCCUCAGGCCCUUUAGCACCAAUUAGUCCUAGAGGGCCAGGAUUGCCAGGGGGCCCCUGCACUCCACUGGGACCAGGAGAGCCAGGUCCUCUCUGUCCUGGAAUCCCGUCAAAACCACGGUCACCCUACGCAGACGAAGAAAAGCAGUUCGAUUUCACAUUGAGGGACAGUAAUUGUACAAAAAGGAGGUCCGCCCACCAGCACAGAACAGUGUGACCGUGAAUGACAGUACAGCUGUAAACAUCUGGCUUCACCCACAGAGCCAAAACAUCAACACACAAUGUUUCUUGUUGCCUAUUUCUUAAGCUGUGCUACAGUACUUGUAGUAUCACAGUUAAUUAACGUGUGUUCUUUUAAAACAGCCACUGUCAACACAAAAUGUCUGAUUUUCCUCUCUCCAUUUCUGCGUCACUGUCGUCUUUACCAAUAUAAACAAAUACACACGCAACAGAGGCAGAGAAAGAGUGAGCAGAAAUAGAGCUUAUUAGAUAUUAAA